UCUUUGUUCCUCCCAGAAAUGACAUAUAAAACCGGCCAUUUUGGUGUGUCAGCCUUUUCCUCACUUAGACUGGAGGGUUUGCACGUGGCCUGGUUACGAGGCUGUCAGAGAACCCACAAGGUGACAAGGCUAAAUCGAUACCAAACUACAAGAUCUUGGCCCUCCACAGAAGAUGUGGUGACUGCAGUCUUAACUUCUCUGGGAUAUGUGGGACGGUAGCACCCCACCUCGCCAACAGCCAGUGAAAUUGCAGGGUGCCAAAUUCAAAACUGAAAUCUCAUAAUUAAAAUUCCCCAAACACACAAGUAUUUUAAAGAUAAACUUCUUGUAAAUCUAGCCACAGUGUCCGAUUUCAUAUGGGCUUUACGGCGAAAGCACACCAAACGAUAAUGUUAGGUCAGCACCUAGCCACAGAAAACCAUAAAGCCAUUUUCCAGCCAAGGAGAGCCCUCAGUCAGAAAUGGCAAUUAAAUAAACCUUUGCUCUUCAUCAGAUGGCACUCCCAGGACUCCCCCAUGUUACACAUUUUUGUUCGAUAAAUGUCAUCUUUAUGUCCAAAAACCUCAUUUGAAAUUGGUGUUUUAUGUUCAGAAAUGCAUUGUCUCAAACAUCUGGUGAAAGUGCAGAGAGCCAUGUCAAAUUACAGAAAUACUAAAAAUAACCAUUGAUAAAUAUACGUGUGGAAAUACAGAUAAACUUCACAAUGCAACUGCUGUCAGAUUUCAAAAAGGCUUUACGGCAAAAGCACACCUAGCCACAGAAAAACAUACAGCCAAGGAGGUGUCACAAGUCAGAAAUAGCAUUAUAAAUAUUCACUUACCUGUGAUCUUCACCAGAAUGCACUCCCAGGAAUCCCAGUUCCACAAUAAAUGUUUGUUUUGUUUGAUAAAGUCCAUUUAUGUCCAAAUACCUCUUUUUGUUUGCGCGUUUAGUUCACAAAUCCAAAUCUAUCCCGCGGGAUAGUCCAGAUGAAAAUUUAGACAAAGUUCUAUAACAGGUCGUAGAAAUGUCAAACGAUGUAUAGAAUCAAUCUUUAGGAUGUUUUUAUCAUAAAUAUUCAAUAAUGUUACAACUGGACAAUUCCUUUGUCUUUAGAAAUGCAAUAGAAUGCAGCUAACUCUCACGGGCAUGAGCGAGACUGAGCUCAUGGCACUCUGCCAAACACCUGGCUCAAACAGCUCUCAUCUCCCCCUUCACAGUGGAAGCCUUAGGAAGUGCAAUAUGACCCCAUAGACACUAUAUUCAAUAGGCAAUGGCUUAAACUACAAACCUCAGAUUUCCCACUUCCUGGUUGGAUUUUUCCCUCAGGUUUUUGCCUGCCUUACGAGUUCUGUUAUACUCACAGACAUCAUUCAAACAGUUUUAGAAAAUUCGGAGUGUUCUAUUCAAAUCUACUAAUUAUAUGCAUAAUCUAGCAUUUGAGCCUGAGUAGCAGGCAGUUUACUCUGAGCACCUUAUUAUCCAAGCUACUCAGUACUGCCCCCCAGUACCAAAGAAGUUAACAUGGGGUGAGAUCUUUAAUGGAUUAUUUAGGGGCCUGUGUUUUGCACGAGGCACUUUUACCUGUAUUUCCAGAAUUAUCCAGCUGGUGUCACUUCAGUCCCCUUUUUUUAUUUUUAUAAAUCAACCAGCUCACCAAUUUAUCAAAGCAGUAAGGAUUAUUUCUCCAACAUGACCAAGAUUGUGAAACAAUAUCCCUUUUGCUAAUAAUUCUGUAGAUGUGGGAAGAAUUGUUAAUACCAGGGCUGACUCAACAAUGGAAAUGUGCUGACCUAAGUGAGAUUAUUUUUUAUUUAUGUUCCUGAUUGUUAUGUAAGGCUGAAACAUUAAAAUAUUUUAAUCAGA